rnacentral:lncRNA from 1 species
UAGACCAAAACACAGGCUGAUUAGGUGAGAUGGCUGGCAAGCCUGUGGGUAUCAGAUAAAUACUAUGGAUAAAGGAUAAGUAAAGACAAACAUUAUUGUGUGAAACCCAGAGAAUCACAUCUAUUACUUGAGACUGUGAUUAUUCAGAGAAAAAAUAAAUCAAUUUAAAAUAAAUAAAUCAAAUGACUUUCUACCUGGAAACAUUUUACAAAUCUCAGUAAAGGUUUAGGUUUCCACACAGAGCUUGUUGGCCUGGCUAAGGUGACAAGACAGAGCUCUAAGUUCAGGGAAGUGGAGGUGGUUUCACUUUGUAAGACAGACUACCUAGAAGAAUAGAGUAAUAUGGAGAAAAAGCUGCAGAAUUCUGCACAGGGGCCUCCCUCUAACUGUUACGCGCCUCCCUCUAUCUGUUACUGAAUUCUAGGCAAUACACG